GCACUGGUCGUCCAGCGGCUAAGACUCCGCAUUCGUAAUGCGGGUACGAGGGUUCGAAUCCCUCCCGGUGCU
rnacentral:tRNA from 1 species